GGGGUUGUGGCUCAGUGGUAGAGCACUUGCCUCACGUGUGAGACACUGGGUUCAAUUCUCAGCACCG
rnacentral:tRNA from 1 species